GUUGUUGCAACGGGGAAGAGCAUUUCUGCAAUAGCAAGAUAUCAGGACCCAAUGGGCAUAGGCCGAACCAACCACCAUCACUAUUGCUUCAGGAUUAGAUAGCUAACUUCCACUCAUAGCCUGUCGAGUCAAGUUUCAGACUGAUCAUGUAUCCCCUUGAUAUUCACUGGAUGGAAUCCCUUGUUUUACUCAAACUGAACCUUCUACAAACAUCGGAAAAGCAACAGUAAUAAAGAUGGACAGAAAUUCCAAAAAUAAGGUGUUUUUUAUGGAUGUAGCUGGUUGCGAUGAAGCUAAACAAGAAAUAAUGCUAUCACUUAUUACCUUUGUCCUUCAAAUUUGAGUAUAGGCCUGCGCAAUAAUGAAUAUUUGUGUCUCAUUGCUCCAGCAUGGUCAAUAAAGAUAUGUUGACCCAGGAAAUGUGGGUUUAUCAUAGGUCCUACUGUAUGCGUUGAUAAAUGAAAUAUGACAUUUCCGGUUAUAUGCUAUCACUUAUUGCCUCUGUCCUUUGCAUUGAGUAUAGGCCUGUGAAAUAAUGGUGUAUUUGUGUGUUGAUUCGUUUGUUUUCCUUCAUGUUCUGGUUCUAAGGUACCAGGACAAACCCAGAGUUAUUUGUAAAAAGUGCUUUCCAAUGUACCAAUAUUUUGUAUCCUUUCUAAUGCUUAA